UACAGAGGGGGCGGGCGUUGUUCGGAAUUACUGGGCGUAAAGGGCGCGUAGGCGGCCCGCUAAGUCGAACGUGAAAUCCCCAGGCUCAACCUGGGAACUGCGUCCGAUACUGGCAGGCUUGAAUCCGGGAGAGGGAUGUGGAAUUCCAGGUGUAGCGGUGAAAUGCGUAGAUAUCUGGAGGAACACCGGUGGCGAAGGCGGCAUCCUGGACCGGUAUUGACGCUGAGGCGCGAAAGCCAGGGGAGCAAACGGG
rnacentral:rRNA from 1 species